UGGGGAAUAUUGCACAAUGGGCGCAAGCCUGAUGCAGCCAUGCCGCGUGUGUGAAGAAGGCCUUCGGGUUGUAAAGCACUUUCAGCGGGGAGGAAGGCGUUAAGGUUAAUAACCUUGGCGAUUGACGUUACCCGCAGAAGAAGCACCGGCUAACUCCGUGCCAGCAGCCGCGGUAAUACGGAGGGUGCAAGCGUUAAUCGGAAUUACUGGGCGUAAAGCGCACGCAGGCGGUUGAUUGAGUCAGAUGUGAAAUCCCCGGGCUUAACCCGGGAAUUGCAUCUGGUACUGGUCAGCUAGAGUCUUGUAGAGGGGGGUAGAAUUCCAUGUGUAGCGAUGAAAUGCGUAGAGAUGUGGAGGAAUACCGGUGGCGAAGGCGGCCCCCUGGACAAAGACUGACGCUCAGGUGCGAAAGCGUGGGGAGCAAACAGG
rnacentral:rRNA from 1 species